AUGGCCAGUAUUAUUUCUCCCUUGUAAAGUGACAUGUGUGAUAUAUCUUGUCCUCGAACCCACAGGAGCCUGCUGUACUUCCUCCUUGACUCUGUGCUGGGCUUGGGCAUAAUCCAGUUUUCACACUUGAGGCUUGAAGUUAUUGUUGCUGCCUCAGUUCUGGCCACAGGAAAUGGGAAAUAUUCAGAGGAGGUACUUCUGCCUUCCUCAUCUAGACAAGGAAGCAAAGCUAACCCUGCCUGGGUAGGGUGUGCUCUCCUUUUUAGAAAGAUGUUGCAGGAGCAGUUUUCCACAGUGCAGUGUCUCUGAAAAUCGUUCCUGAUGUACUGUCCUUCUAUAUUACUCCCAUUUUAUCUACAACUGUUACACACUCGGUCUGCUCAACAGCAAGAUUUGCCUGGUUGAAAUACUCUUAGACUAUCAUUACCAUUAUUUGAUAUACUAAGUAUAGGAAACAGAUGAUAUCUUGGUGAUGUAUAAUGAAUUGACAAAUGUUAUUUUAUGGAGUUUUUUCCUUUUGGAGAAAAAAGAAUGGAGGGAUAGGAAAAAGAGGGGUCUGAAGAAAAUUAGCCAAGACCAGGAAGCAGCAACAACAUGUAAAGAAAAGUGAUUUGUCUUCUUUCCAUGUAUUUUAACUUAUAAAAGAUAAUUAUGACAUUUUCAGAAUACAGACUUGCCUGUUGUAACCAUGUUUUUCAAAUACCUUCUUUUAUUCUUAUGUUGGUUUCAGUUUGUCUGUCUUCUUCCCCAGUUCACUUUAUUUUCUUCUGUCUUUAUCUUAACCUCUCUUUCCCAUCUCUAUGUAUUUGAACUUCCUUGAUUUUUAUUUUUUUUAUACCAUUUCCCAAGAAUCCCGAAUCCUUACUGCACUUGCAUUUUGGCUUCCUUGACCUUAUUAGCAAAUCUAAUUUGCUAAUAAAUCCUAUGGCUGCAAUCACCGGCAGUGGAAAAACUGUUCAAUCUUCCCCCCCACCCCCGCUAAGCAUUGGCACCAGCAGAAGUUAGACACCUUCCAAUGCAUUUAAACAAGAUAAUGUCUGUUCUGUAAUUGUAAUGGUGUACAGGGAAGUUAAAAGGGAACUAUUCUCAAAUUUAAAAAAGAGAGACCUGGAAUACAUGCUACUACCUCUCCUGCAAGCACAUCAGGAGAGGGUGAUAGAGUAUGCAUCAUUAUUGGAAUAUGAAUGUGCAUUCUCUUCCCUCUGAUGCACAAUACCCUGAACAAUGACUUCAGACUCUAGUGUUACAUAUCUUGCUGGAGACAGCUUAUUUUAUCCUCUACAUCCCUCUUUUGGAAACCCAUAAAAUCACGCACAUUGUUUCGUUUUUGAAAAAGUAGAGGAGAAAGAAUGCUGAGGAGAAAGAAUAAACUGUGAACUGACCUCAUAUAUCUGGCCUAAACACAUCUAAAAGUCAGUAAAUGUCAUGCUCCACUUGUGUGGGUUUUUUUAACUAGGCAUUCUCUGUUGUAGAAUUAAAUGUGUGUUUUGUGAAGCCAGAGUUAAUAUUUAUACUGCUUAUCAGACAGACUGAAAAGAAAGGUUUCUCAUUCCUUCAGGAGUUCCUGGUUUCUCCCCAGCAUUAUUCCUUCAGCCCAAAAUGCAUUAUUCUUUGGAAUUUGAGAGGAUGGUAGGUCUUUGAUCAACAGGCAUAUUUCUUUCUUCCCCUACUCAUUAACAUGUCAAUUGAAGCAGCUUUUCCCAAAGGAACUGUCUGUUUAUUCAAUGAAAGUGUAAUGGGAGGAAGAGGCCAGAGAAACUGAGGAAAUGUGAUUAGGAAGGGACAAGGAAAAAUUAAUCAUAGAGUGGCAAGUAUUUGUUUUCUUAUCUUUCCUCUCCACUUCUCCCUCAACAUGAAAGGCUAAAGAAUCAAAUAAUUGUAGGGGGGGUGUGGAAAUCUAUCUUACAGUUGUAGUCACAAGGGAACCUGCCUAAACUCUUAAACUCAUUGAGGUUUAGUCUAGAGCCUGAAAGUCUUCC